rnacentral:rRNA from 1 species
UAAGCAUAUCAAUAAGCGGAGGAAAAGAAACCAACAGGGAUUGCCCUAGUAACGGCGAGUGAAGCGGCAACAGCUCAAAUUUGAAAUCUGGCGUCUUUGGCGUCCGAGUUGUAAUUUGCAGAGGGCGCUUUGGCAUUGGCAGCGGUCCAAGUUCCUUGGAACAGGACGUCACAGAGGGUGAGAAUCCCGUACGUGGUCGCUAGCCUUUACCGUGUAAAGCCCCUUCGACGAGUCGAGUUGUUUGGGAAUGCAGCUCUAAAUGGGAGGUAAAUUUCUUCUAAAGCUAAAUACUGGCCAGAGACCGAUAGCGCACAAGUAGAGUGAUCGAAAGAUGAAAAGCACUUUGGAAAGAGAGUUAAAAAGCACGUGAAAUUGUUGAAAGGGAAGCGCUUGCAGCCAGACUUGCCUGUAGUUGCUCAUCCGGGUUUCUACCCGGUGCACUCUUCUAUAGGCAGGCCAGCAUCAGUUUGGGCGGUUGGAUAAAGGUCUCUGUCAUGUACCUCCUUUCGGGGAGAACUUAUAGGGGAGACGACAUGCAACCAGCCUGGACUGAGGUCCGCGCAUCUGCUAGGAUGCUGGCGUAAUGGCUGUAAGCGGCCCGUCUUGAAACACGGACCAAGGAGUCUAACAUCUAUGCGAGUGUUUGGGUGUCAAGCCCGAGCGCGUAAUGAAAGUGAACGGAGGUGGGAACCUUUCGGGGUGCACCAUCGACCGAUCCUGAUGUCUUCGGAUGGAUUUGAGUAAGAGCAUAGCUGUUGGGACCCGAAAGAUGGUGAACUAUGCUUGAAUAGGGUGAAGCCAGAGGAAACUCUGGUGGAGGCUCGCAGCGGUUCUGACGUGCAAAUCGAUCGUCAAAUUUGGGCAUAGGGGCGAAAGACUAAUCGAACUAUCUAGUAGCUGGUUCCUGCCGA